GACAGAGGGUGCAAACGUUGUUCGGAAUUACUGGGCGUAAAGAGCUCGUAGGUGGUUUGUCGCGUUGUCCGUGAAAACUCACAGCUCAACUGUGGGCGUGCGGGCGAUACGGGCAGACUGGAGUACUGCAGGGGAGACUGGAAUUCCUGGUGUAGCGGUGGAAUGCGCAGAUAUCAGGAGGAACACCGAUGGCGAAGGCAGGUCUCUGGGCCACUACUGACGCUGAGAAGCGAAAGCAUGGGGAGCGAACAGG
rnacentral:rRNA from 1 species